AAUAAGAAUAAUGAAUAUAAUAACUGGACAUUGCUGGCCUAACAACAUCUAAAAACAUAUUUAUAUUUGACAACUGCAUGUGUACUGAUGUGUGUAUAGACAUAUUUCUACUUGUAAUGUAUUGUAUUUGAAUCUGUGAGUACAGUGAGUGUAUGUAGCUGGGUAAAUGCAUGCAGGGUUGGUUAUUAGAGGUUUAGGGUAAAAAGGG